rnacentral:miRNA from 1 species
AACUAUUAGGUUAGUGCAAAAGUAAUUGCGAUUUUUUGCUAUUGAAAGUAAUGGCAAAAACUGCAAUUACUUUUGCACCAACCUAAAACAU